UGGGGAAUAUUGGACAAUGGGCGAAAGCCUGAUCCAGCAAUGCCGCGUGAGUGAUGAAGGCCUUCGGGUCGUAAAGCUCUUUUACCCGGGAUGAUAAUGACAGUACCGGGAGAAUAAGCUCCGGCUAACUCCGUGCCAGCAGCCGCGGUAAUACGGAGGGAGCUAGCGUUGUUCGGAAUUACUGGGCGUAAAGCGCACGUAGGCGGCGAUUCAAGUCAGAGGUGAAAGCCCGGGGCUCAACCCCGGAACUGCCUUUGAAACUAGAUCGCUAGAAUCUUGGAGAGGUCAGUGGAAUUCCGAGUGUAGAGGUGAAAUUCGUAGAUAUUCGGAAGAACACCAGUGGCGAAGGCGACUGACUGGACAAGCAUUGACGCUGAGGUGCGAAAGCGUGGGGAGCAAACA
rnacentral:rRNA from 1 species